GAAGAAGCAAAGUGAUGAAUAAUACUUGCAUGAGCCAAAGUGAGCGAGCUGUGUGUGUGUGCGCAGUUGUGUGAUGGUUGGUUGUGAGGAUUGUGUGCCUUAAAACUGGGCGGUGAUAGCUAAACUGAUAAGAUCUGAUUGCUUC
rnacentral:snoRNA from 1 species